GGGUCAGUAGGUUGGUCGUGCCACCGGUACGUACUGGUCUCACUGAUUCCUCCUUCCUGAAGAACCGUAAUGCCAUUAAUUCGGUGCUGCGGGGAAACAGGACUGUUACUUUGAAAAAAUUAGAGUGUUUAAAGCAAGCUAACGCUUGAAUACAUUAGCAUGGAAUAAUGAAAUAGGACGAUCGAUCCUAUUUUGUUGGUUUCUAGGAUUGACGUA
rnacentral:rRNA from 1 species